rnacentral:rRNA from 1 species
CUGGCGGCGUGCCUAACACAUGCAAGUCGAGCGAGGAGAUCCUCGGGAUGAUCCUAGCGGCGGACGGGUGAGUAACACGUGGGCAACCUGCCUCAUAGAGAGGAAUAGCCUUCCGAAAGGGAGAUUAAUACCUCAUAACAUUGCAGUUUCGCAUGGAACAGCAAUUAAAGGAGUAAUCCGCUAUGAGAUGGGCCCGCGGCGCAUUAGCUAGUUGGUGAGGUAAUGGCUCACCAAGGCGACGAUGCGUAGCCGACCUGAGAGGGUGAUCGGCCACAUUGGGACUGAGACACGGCCCAGACUCCUACGGGAGGCAGCAGUGGGGAAUAUUGCACAAUGGGGGAAACCCUGAUGCAAGCAACGCCGCGUGAGUGAUGACGGCCUUCGGGUUGUAAAGCUCUGUCUUCAGGGACGAUAAUGACGGUACCUGAGGAGGAAGCCACGGCUAACUACGUGCCAGCCGCAGC